CCCCGGGCUCAACCUGGGAACUGCGUUNUGAACUGGCAGGCUAGAGUGUNUCAGAGGGGGGUAGAAUUCCACGUGUAGCAGUGAAAUGCGUAGAGAUGUGGAGGAAUACCGAUGGCGAAGGCAGCCCCCUGGGAUAACACUGACGUUCAUGCUNGAAAGCGUGGGUAGCAAACAGGAUUAGAUACCCUGGUAGUCCACGCCCUAAACGAUGUCAAUUAGCUGUUGGGCAACUUGAUUGCUUAGUAGCGUAGCUAACGCGUGAAAUUGACCGCCUGGGGAGUACGGUCGCAAGAUUAAAACUCAAAGGAAUUGACGGGGACCCGCACAAGCGGUGGAUGAUGUGGAUUAAUUCGAUGCAACGCGAAGAACCUUACCUGGUCUUGACAUGUACGGAAUCUUCCAGAGACGGGAGAGUGCCUUCGGGAACCGUAACACAGGUGCUGCAUGGCUGUCGUCAGCUCGUGUCGUGAGAUGUUGGGUUAAGUCCCGCAACGAGCGCAACCCUUGUCAUUAGUUGCCAUCAUUCAGUUGGGCACUCUAAUGAGACUGCCGGUGACAAACCGGAGGAAGGUGGGGAUGACGUCAAGUCCUCAUGGCCCUUAUGACCAGGGCUUCACACGUCAUACAAUGGUCGGUACAGAGGGUAGCCAAGCCGCGAGGUGGAGCCAAUCCCAGAAAACCGAUCGUAGUC
rnacentral:rRNA from 1 species